rnacentral:misc_RNA from 1 species
GGGACAUCUAUGAUCUGCACCACAGCAUUCUAGGCCUUUUAUUUGCCGUUCUAAUUACGGCAGUAAUCACGGAUGCCAUCAAGAAUGGAGUAGGCCGUCCCCGACCAGAUUUUUUCUGGCGUUGCUUUCCUGAUGGUAAAGAUGAGUAUGAUCAGUGGGGAGACGUAAAAUGCCAUGGUAAAGCAAGUGAUAUUAAGGAAGGACAUAAGAGCUUCCCAAGCGGGCAUACCUCAUGGUCAUUUGCUGGUCUCGGGUUUCUAUCGUUGUAUUUAGCAGGGAAGAUUAAAGCAUUUGAUCGCCGAG